CACGUAGGGACCAAGCGUUGUCCGGAUUUAUUGGGCGUAAAGAGCUCGUAGGCGGCUUGGUAAGUCGGGUGUGAAACCUCCAGGCUCAACCUGGUGACGCCACCCGAUACUGCGAUAGCUUGAGUUCGGUAGGGGAGCGGGGAAUUCCUGGUGUAGCGGUGAAAUGCGCAGAUAUCAGGAGGAACACCGGUGGCGAAGGCGCCGCUCUGGGCCGAAACUGACGCUGAGGAGCGAAAGCGUGGGGAGCAAACAGG
rnacentral:rRNA from 1 species